rnacentral:tRNA from 1 species
GUUGAUAUGGCCGAGUUGGUCUAAGGCGCAGGACUAAGGCUCCUGUCCGAAAGGGGGUGGGUUCAAAUUCCUCUGUCAACA